GACGGACGCUGGCGGCGUGCUUAACACAUGCAAGUCGAACGCGCCUGUCCUCUGGGUUUCUGGGGGGUGGGUGAGUGGCGAACGGGUGAGUAACACGUGAGUAACCUGCCCCCUUCUUCGGGAUAACGGUCUGAAAGGGCUGCUAAUACCGGGUAUUCACUGGUCUCCGCAUGGGGUCUGGUGGAAAGGUUUUUUUCUGGUGGGGGAUGGGCUCGCGGCCUAUCAGCUUGUUGGUGGGGUGAUGGCCCACCAAGGCUUUGACGGGUAGCCGGCCUGAGAGGGUGACCGGUCACAUUGGGACUGAGAUACGGCCCAGACUCCUACGGGAGGCAGCAGUGGGGAAUAAUGCACAAUGGGCGCAAGCCUGAUGCAGCGACGCCGCGUGAGGGAUGGAGGCCUUCGGGUUGUGAACCUCUUUCGCCCGUGGUCAAGCCGCGACGUGGGUCGUGGUGAGGGUAGUGGGUAAAGAAGCGCCGGCUAACUACGUG
rnacentral:rRNA from 1 species